GAUGAACGCUAGCUACAGGCUUAACACAUGCAAGUCGAGGGGUAACGAGAGGGAAGCUUGCUUUCCUUGUCGACGACCGGCGCACGGGUGAGUAACGCGUAUCCAACCUGCCCCCAACUAGGGAAUAACCUUGCGAAAGUAAGACUAAUACCCUAUAAUUUCCUCAGAUGUCAUCUGACGAGGAAUAAAGAUUUAUCGGUUGUGGAUGGGGAUGCGUCUGAUUAGCUUGUUGGCGGGGUAACGGCCCACCAAGGCAACGAUCAGUAGGGGUUCUGCGAGGAAGGUCCCCCACAUUGGAACUGAGAAACGGUCCAAACUCCUACGGGAGGCAGCAGUGAGGAAUAUUGGUCAAUGGGCGGAAGCCUGAACCAGCAAAGUAGCGUGCAGGAUGACGGCCCUAUGGGUUGUAAACUGCUUUUAUACAGGAAUAAAGUUAGCCACGUGUGGUUAUUUGUAGGUACUGUAUGAAUAAGGACCGGCUAAUUCCGUGCCAGCAGCCGCCGCCG
rnacentral:rRNA from 1 species